UACGUAGGGGGCGAGCGUUGUCCGGAGUUACUGGGCGUAAAGGGCACGCAGGCGGUGCGGCGCGUUUCGCGUGACAGCGGAGGGCUUAACUCUCCGAGGAUGCGAAAGACGGCGGCACUUGAGGGCCAGAGAGGGACACGGAAUUCCGGGUGGAGUGGUGAAAUGCGUAGAGAUCCGGAGGAACGCCGAAGGCGAAGGCAGUGUCCUGGCUGGUGACUGACGCUGAGGUGCGAAAGCUAGGGGAGCGAACGGG
rnacentral:rRNA from 1 species